rnacentral:rRNA from 1 species
AACGAACGCUGGCGGCAUGCCUAACACAUGCAAGUCGAACGAGACCUUCGGGUCUAGUGGCGCACGGGUGCGUAACGCGUGGGAACCUGCCCUUAGGUUCGGAAUAACUCCCCGAAAGGGGUGCUAAUACCGGAUAAUGUCUUCGGACCAAAGAUUUAUCGCCUUUGGAUGGGCCCGCGUUGGAUUAGCUAGUUGGUAGGGUAAAAGCCUACCAAGGCGACGAUCCAUAGCUGGUCUGAGAGGAUGAUCAGCCACACUGGGACUGAGACACGGCCCAGACUCCUACGGGAGGAAGCAGGGGGGAAUAUUGGACAAGGGGCGAAAGCCUGAUCCAGCAAUGCCGGGGGGGUGAGGAAGGCCUUAGGGUUGUAAAGCUCUUUUACCCGGGAUGAAAAUGACAGUACCGGGAAAAAAAGCCCCGGCUAACUCCGU